GUAGAGCUGUGUAUGUUUGGGUAGGAAGGUCUUUUAGUUGUCAUUUUAGCAAGGUUCGGCAAGUAGACUGCAAAGGACCUGGUGAUCCAGGGGAGAUUGACUGGAAUCAGGCUGCUUCAGAUGUUUUUCAUCAAAUGGUUCUGCCAAUCGACAGUAACAUUAAGGUUGUGAAAGAAAAUGAAGAACCUGCUGAACUCCUAGCAUUAUUGAGUUCCCGGUUAAGCUAAAAUGAUCGAGGAUGCAUCAGGAAUCCCAGUAGAUUGUGUUCUCUUUCGUACAUUUUAGCUUCCAAAAUUUUACUGGCUUUUGAGUGAAGUCCACCUGACUAUAAUAUGGAGGGUUGUGCCUAAAUGGAGUGAAUUGAGACUCAUAUUCGAAUUCCACCGGAGGCAAAAGCACUAGGUGUUUCUUCCAGUCUGUCCAAGGCUUAGGGGACAGGUUUCGGGUACCUGUGCUAGUAGGAGAUAGUAGGUACCCAUUUGAAUUUGUCAAGGUGCGAGCAAACUGGUUUGGAUACCACAGUUGUUGAAAAAAGAUGAGAAAAUUCUCUAGAUUUAGAUUGAGAUGUUAUCUAUAUAUCAUUCAGUAUGUUUUAAUAUGUAAAGCAUAGUCUUUAAGAAUUUCUUUAUAUGAUAUCAGAGUGAGACUCGAUUCCCAUUUCUUGAUUUACCUAUAUUGAGCUCCCAUGUUAUUUACUAUGCUUCAGAUGCCUAGUUUUGGGUGUGGG